UUUCCGUAGGUGAACCUGCGGAAGGAUCAUUACCGAGUGAGGGCCCUCUGGGUCCAACCUCCCACCCGUGUUUAUCGUACCUUGUUGCUUCGGCGGGCCCGCCGCAAGGCCGCCGGGGGGCAUCUGCCCUCUGGCCCGCGCCCGCCGAAGACACCAUUGAACGCUGUCUGAAGAUUGCAGCCUGAGCAAUUAGUUAAAUAACUUAAAACUUUCAACAACGGAUCUCUUGGUUCCG
rnacentral:misc_RNA from 1 species